rnacentral:misc_RNA from 1 species
AUUCAAUAUGUCUGCCUCCAUGAACUGAAAUUGACGUCGUGAUUGUAGAAAAUUGUACAGACAAAAUUACAAGCUAAGUUUAAAUAAGAAGAAAUGCAAUGACAGCUUAAAAACUUAUCAUGGCUUCUGUGAUAUAUAGAAUAGUAUCGAAACAACCAUCAGGAUAUUGCAUAAAUUCAUCACUGCUUAGAUCUUCCUCAUCUCUGAAAUGCUGGCAGAGGUGUGUUACAACAUUUAGAACAGAGAUCUCUGACCCAUCAGAACAUUCUUUUGAUCAUGAAGGACAGUUUUACACCAUACCAAAGAAGGAUGUACAAAAAAUCUUUAUGUUGAACUGGAUGAGUCCACAUGAAAAGAAUAUGAACAAAAUGUUUCAAGAGUUUAGUAUUCUAAUUAGAAGACCAGCUUUGGAAGUCAUGGACAUUUUGAAGAGGUUGAACUACAACUAUCCACUGACAAGAUUUCUUCUCUAUGGAGAAAUGAAUGCUGGUAAAAAGUUUACAAUGACACACAUAAUGCAUUACUGUCGGAGCCAGAACUGGGUCCUAUUGACCGUGCCUUGGGCCAAUGAGUGGAACUGCAAGAGACUGGAUGUUUCAUUCAACCACCACAAGGAAUCUCUCUUCGAUCUACCUGUUCACUCCAAAAUCCUCCUUGAAGAUUUUCUACUUAAAAACAUGAGUUUAAUUAAAGAAUUCACAACUUCUACUACAUAUGAGUUUUCUGAACAUGAAGCAUCAGAGCAAGGAAUACCCCUGACAGAUUUGAUUUCUUUUGGAAUUACAAGAAUGAAGUUUGCAAAUGAUGUUGUUGGAGCACUAUUAAAGGAACUGCAAAUUCUAGCAAACAAUGACAAAAUAAAGCUUUUGGUUACCAUAAGGGGCAUCAACUCAUUUUGGAGAAAGACUGGCCAGAAAAAAGAAAAAGUACAAGAGAUACAUGCCCAGCAAUUGACACUUGUAAACCAGUUCAUGGAGCUCUUACAAUCAGAUACUGUAAGGACAUUUUUUUAUGUGAUUUAAUUUAAAAUAAAAGUUCAAUGUUAUAUUUUUAAGAUAUUAGUGCUUACUGGUAAAACCUUACUCUGUUGUUUUCAGAAAAAUGCUGUUGCCAUGUGUUCUACAGAAAGUUGGGUUAAUGAUGUGACAGACAGAAAAUCAUAUCUUCCCACUGAGCUAAUGGGUAAAGAGGGCGUCGACUUUCUUGAGCCGUUUUUACCCAUUGAGGUCCCAAAAUACGGUAAUGCAGAACUACAGAGUGUAAUGGACUACUAUAUUGACAGGAGAUGGAUUCAGGCUCCAGAGGCAAAAACACUGGAUGGGAGGGCUCAAAUAAAGUUCCUCAGUGGUCACAAUCCUUAUCAACUAUACAGAGUGUGUGUGCCACUAUAGUGGAAAUUUAUAAGACUAUGAAUUUUGAAAAAAAAAAAAACCCAGACAAUUUAUUCAUAUAAUAAAAGACAAAAAAUAUU